GACGAACGCUGGCGGCGUGCUUAACACAUGCAAGUCGAACGAAGAGCGAUGGAAGCUUGCUUCUCUCAAUCUUAGUGGCGAACGGGUGAGUAACGCGUAAUCAACCUGCCCUUCAGAGGGGGACAACAGUUGGAAACGACUGCUAAUACCGCAUACGAUCUAAUCUCGGCAUCGAGGAUAGAUGAAAGGUGGCCUCUACAUGUAAGCUAUCACUGAAGGAGGUGAUUGCGUCUGAUUAGCUAGUUGGAGGGGUAACGGCCCACCAAGGCGAUGAUCAGUAGCCGGUCUGAGAGGAUGAACGGCCACAUUGGGACUGAGACACGGCCCAGACUCCUACGGGAGGCAGCAGUGGGGAAUCUUCCGCAAUGGACGAAAGUCUGACGGAGCAACGCCGCGUGAGUGAUGACGGCCUUCGGGUUGUAAAGCUCUGUUAAUCGGGACGAAAGGCCUUCUUGCGAAUAGGGAGAAGGAUUGACGGUACCGGAAUAGAAAGCCACGGCUAACUACGUG
rnacentral:rRNA from 1 species